rnacentral:rRNA from 1 species
AUGAACGCUGGCGGCGUGCCUAACACAUGCAAGUCGAACGAAGCAAUCAAGAGGAAGUUUUCGGAUGGAAUCUUGAUUGACUGAGUGGCGGACGGGUGAGUAACGCGUGGAUAACCUGCCUCACACUGGGGGAUAACAGUUAGAAAUGACUGCUAAUACCGCAUAAGCGCACGCUACCGCAUGGUAGCGUGUGAAAAACUCCGGUGGUGUGAGAUGGAUCCGCGUCUGAUUAGCCAGUUGGCGGGGUAACGGCCCACCAAAGCGACGAUCAGUAGCCGACCUGAGAGGGUGACCGGCCACAUUGGGACUGAGACACGGCCCAAACUCCUACGGGAGGCAGCAGUGGGGAAUAUUGCACAAUGGGCGAAAGCCUGAUGCAGCGACGCCGCGUGAGUGAAGAAGUAUUUCGGUAUGUAAAGCUCUAUCAGCAGGGAAGAAAAUGACGGUACCUGACUAAGAAGCCCCGGCUAACUACGUGCCAGCAGCCGCGGUAAUACGUAGGGGGCAAGCGUUAUCCGGAUUUACUGGGUGUAAAGGGAGCGUAGACGGCGAAGCAAGUCUGAAGUGAAAACCCAGGGCUCAACCCUGGGAGUGCUUUGGAAACUGUUUUGCUAGAGUGUCGGAGAGGUAAGUGGAAUUCCUAGUGUAGCGGUGAAAUGCGUAGAUAUUAGGAGGAACACCAGUGGCGAAGGCGGCUCUCUGGUCUGUAACUGACGCUGAGGCUCGAAAGCGUGGGGAGCAAACAGGAUUAGAUACCCUGGUAGUCCACACCGUAAACGAUGAUUACUAGGUGUUGGAGGAUUGACCCCUUCAGUGCCGCAGUUAACACAAUAAGUAAUCCACCUGGGGAGUACGACCGCAAGGUUGAAACUCAAAGGAAUUGACGGGGGCCCGCACAAGCAGUGGAGUAUGUGGUUUAAUUCGAAGCAACGCGAAGAACCUUACCAGGUCUUGACAUCCGAUGCAUAGCACAGAGAUGUGUGAAAUCCUUCGGGACAUCGAGACAGGUGGUGCAUGGUUGUCGUCAGCUCGUGUCGUGAGAUGUUGGGUUAAGUCCCGCAACGAGCGCAACCCUUAUGGUCAGUUACUACGUAAGAGGACUCUGGCCAGACUGCCGUUGACAAAACGGAGGAAGGUGGGGAUGACGUCAAAUCAUCAUGCCCCUUAUGAUUUGGGCUACACACGUGCUACAAUGGCGUAAACAAAGGGAAGCAAGACAGUGAUGUGGAGCAAAUCCCAAAAAUAACGUCCCAGUUCGGACUGUAGUCUGCAACCCGACUACACGAAGCUGGAAUCGCUAGUAAUCGCGAAUCAGAAUGUCGCGGUGAAUACGUUCCCGGGUCUUGUACACACCGCCCGUCACACCAUGGGAGUCAGCAACGCCCGAAGUCAGUGACCCAACCGAAAGGAGGGAGCUGCCGAAGGCGGGGCAGGUAACUGGGGUG